CAGAACGCUUCACUUUCACCAUGUACACAGUGAUCUGAUCUCAGCUUGUUUGCUCUGAUGAUGAUGAUAUCUGAAGUGAAUUGCGAUCAGUGUUCAUGUUGAGAAGAAAGUUGGCUAGAAGUGAGGAUGUAACCCAAGUGCAGUAUUUUUCAACAAAGGCAAUCUGUGGCAAAAGAAGCAAACUGAGGAGAUAGCAUUAUCUAAAUGAUAUGAGGAAAAGCAGUGGGACAUCCAAAUGAGCCACAUGUCAAUAAUCAGAGCAGUAGUAUUUAUAAUAGCAGGAUGUUAACCCAGUUUCAAAUUGUAACUCAGCCCAUAUUUUGUUUUUUUUUCCUAAAAGUAACAGAAAAUUCUUACCAGUAUUCAUUUGGUUGUAGUACAUUAGGAACUUUUAGACAGGGAAAGGCAUCAAAAUAUUUGUGAGUCCUCAAAAGGGAAGUA